GAAAUACAGAAGCUCCUGCAGCUACAUCAUGAAGAAAUGUCCACUGUAUCUUGGUGAAUGAUGCAUUUUGCAGUGCGUGUGUGUGUAUGUUUCAUAGAAAAUAAUGAACUCACCACUGAAUCAAGUGACUGGAACAGGAGCAUGGGAACUAUAAGCUUUGAAAGGAAUGUGGGAAUGGGAUAGUGGUGAACGUCCAAGGUGGAAUGGGAAUUGAAGCCCCUGAACAUUUAAAGAGCAAGGUGCUGGGCCAGUUUGAAAAGGUCGAGGGGUCGGGACUCGAAGUGAGUGAGGUGCCACUUCAGCUCACUGCUCAGAUGCGCAUGAAGGCUCU